CGGCUCUCCCAGGUUACACCUGCCACAUGUGUGACUCUCGUAACGAGGAGAGAGAGAAAGGAUGCCCUCAGGACCUGGGCAGGCCUCCUGUGGCCUGUCCCUUCUGGGGGCCACAACAAAC